GAUCAUGGCUCAGAACGAACGCUGGUAGCGUGGAUUAGGCAUGCAAGUCGAACGGGAUCGGCCGGUUAGCAAUAAUUGGCCGUGAGAGUGGCGGAUGGGGAGGAACACGUGAGCAACCUGCCUUUGAGUCGGGGAAAACCGUUGGAAACGACGGCUAAUACCGGAUGUGGCGCCUGACGACAUCGUCGGAACGCUAAAGGGGGCCGCAAGGCUCUCGCUCGUAGAGGGGCUCGCGCACCAUCAGCUUGUUGGCGGGGUAACGGCCCACCAAGGCCUACGGUUAGCUGGUCUGAGAGGAUGACCAGCCCCACUGGGACUGAGAUACUGCCCAGACUCCUACGGGAGGCUGCAGUCGAGGAUCAUUUGCAAUGGGCGAAAGCCUGACAAUGCGACGCUGCGUGGAGGAUGAAGGCCUUCGGGUUGUAAACUCCUGUCAUGGGGGAACAGGCGAGGGGACCCAACACGUCCCUUAGUUGAGUGUACCCCAAGAGGAAGGGACGGCUAACUCUGUGCCAGCCGCAGC
rnacentral:rRNA from 1 species